AUGCGUUUCCUCCUCCCUUGGCAGUGGUAAGAGAGAAGGCCCCAUCCACAUUCACAAGAAUCCAAUUAUGAGGAGGAACCUGCCAAUGCACUCUAGACGCGUUCAUGUUUUUCCCUAAGAGAUUUUGUCUUUGCCAUAUUUGCCUGCAACUUAAAGCAAAGCUGCAAGUCCAUUCCUUGUUCAUAUGGCUUCCAGGACCUAUCAAAUUUUGCCGUAGCCACUGUGCAAGAUUAGAGCCGAAAAAGACUCCUUUAUGAAAAGGAUUGACGAUCUUGCUCUAUUAUUGGUAAGUCCGAGGACAAUCUCGUAAACAUGUGGAGUACAUCUUCAUUAAUAUCUGGACACCAUUGGCAGCCUGCAUCCAUGCUUAAUCUCCCGUGGACUCAAGCUUCAUUAGUGAGGAUCCUAUUAUGCAGCACAAGCCACAUGAAAGACUUACACCUGUGUGGGACAUUCAUUUUCUAGAGGUUAACCCAUAUGGUAUCUCUGAUGCUAUCCUCUUUUCUAAGGUAUUGGUAAGCUGAUUUGAUUGAGAAAUCUCCAAGUUUCUCUAGCUUCCAUCGAACCUCUCGACCUUCCUGUACAACCUCUGAUGCCUCAAGAACUUUAUCCCACGUUGCCUUAAUGCCCAACCAGAUGUUGGAUCCUGAUCUAGACUUCUUAAUAACGGGCACUAAGUCAUUCCCGCACUUAUAUUUACCCAAAUAACUUUAGCCCAGAGAUCAUCUUUCUGCUUCAUGAGCUUCCAGCCAAGCUUUAUUAAGAAUGCUUGAUUCUGUGACCGAGCAUGCUUAAUCCCUAACCCUCCAUUUUUCUUGCUCUUCCCCACUUCAUUCCACAAAAUUAAGUGGAUUUUCUUUUUUUCCAUGAUAGUCCCCCAUAUGAAAAUUUUAUUCAGAUGAUCAAGAGUUUCACAGGUUUGCACAGGUAACAAAGCAGUUUACAUGGUAUAUCUAGGGAUGGCUGAGGUCAUGGCAAAGACGAGAGUUGUACAUCUAGCUAAAGACAAAGCCGUGGCCUUCCAGGAAGACAAGCGCUUCUUCACUUUAUCAAUAAUAUCCCUAAAUGUAUUUUUAUCUACUGCUUUUGAAUGCAAUCGAGAACUCCUAUAUAGCGUCCAAGAUCAGUUGUUCUGGAGAAGCCCAAUAUCGAACUCAGUUCUUUCCUUCGAAUGUUAUGAACAUUCUUAUAAAAGAAACUCGUGUCUUAGUUGCA